ACACCUUUUUAUAUAUUUAACACCAUCAUAAAUGCUGGAGGCAAAGUGGGAUUUGGGGUGGAGGCUUACAGCUUGCGACCCCCUCAUGUAAUAACCUCAUGACCCCCUGAGGGGUUCCGAUCCCCAGUUUGAGAACCCCUUCUUUAGCCGCUUUCCCCCCAUGUUUAAAAAGAAUUCCUCAGCUCUUACUGAAUCGAUACACAGUAGUCUUUCUCCUCUUACUACAGGUCCUCCUCACAGACUUCACCCUAGGACUGCAAUCAAUCCAUCACCUUUGCUAUUUUUGUUACAUUGUUGCUGUUGAAUUUGGAAAAGUGGACAUGAAUACAUCUUAUAAAGGUAUGUAUCAUCAAAAAAACAAACACUCAUCAAUUCUAAUUCUAGUGCUGUCAUUCAUUUGUUAUCUGUCUUUAGGAAGUCACUUAAGUCAAAAUCUUUAAAAAUAUUGAGCACUCAUGGUGCCUAUAUAUAAAGUGAAACUCUAGCCUCUAUGUUUCUAAAACUAGGCACACAAAUUAAUGAAUGCUUUUGAGAAUUAUGGCCUUAACUUUUUUGUUCCUCAGUUUUUCAAUCUAUAAAAUGUACCUACCCUAUGAGGCUAUUGUCAGGAUUAGUU
rnacentral:lncRNA from 1 species